rnacentral:rRNA from 1 species
GCAAGUCGAGCGGUAACAGAAAUUAGCUUGCUAAUUUGCUGACGAGCGGCGGACGGGUGAGUAAUGCUUGGGAAUAUGCCUUUGAGUGGGGGACAACAGUUGGAAACGACUGCUAAUACCGCAUAAUGUCUACGGACCAAAGGGGGGGAUCUUCGGACCUCUCGCGCUAAGAUUAGCCCAGGUGAGAUUAGCUUGUUGGUGAGGUAAUGGCUCACCAAGGCGACGAUCCCUAGCUGGUCUGAGAGGAUGAUC